UACAGAGGUGGCAAGCGUUGUUCGGAAUUACUGGGCGUAAAGGGCGAGUAGGUGGCCAUCUAAGUCAGACGUGAAAUCCCCCGGCUUAACCUGGGAACUGCGUCUGAUACUGGACGGCUUGAGUAUGGGAGAGGAACGUAGAAUUCCAGGUGUAGCGGUGAAAUGCGUAGAUAUCUGGAGGAAUACCGGUGGCGAAGGCGGCGUUCUGGACCAUUACUGAUACUGAAUCGCGAAAGCUAGGGGAGCAAACGGG
rnacentral:rRNA from 1 species